UACGUAGGUGGCAAGCGUUGUCCGGAUUUACUGGGCGUAAAGAGCGCGCAGGCGGUCGGAUAAGUCGAAUGUGAAAGCCCCCGGCUCAACUGGGGAGGGUCAUUCGAUACUGUUCGACUCGAAGGCAGGAGAGGGAAGUGGAAUUCCCGGUGUAGUGGUGAAAUGCGUAGAUAUCGGGAGGAACACCGGUGGUGUAGACGGCUUUCUGGACCGUAACUGACGCUGAGACACGAAAGCGUGGGUAGCAAACAGG
rnacentral:rRNA from 1 species